CUUUAUGGCGGGCCAUGGUGGGAGAGUGUUCGCACUCGCCGGUCUCCGUAGCACCGGUACGCCAAUCCUGCCAUGUGCCUGCCACCCCG
rnacentral:antisense_RNA from 1 species